rnacentral:rRNA from 1 species
UACGGGGGGUGCGAGCGUUGUCCGGAAUCACUGGGCGUAAAGGGCGCGUAGGCGGCCUGACAAGUGGAAGGUGAAAUCCCUCGGCUUAACCGAGGAACUGCCCUCCAAACUGUUUGGCUUGAGACCGGGAGAGGUGAGUGGAAUUCCCAGUGUAGCGGUGAAAUGCGUAGAUAUCUGGAGGAAUACCGGUGGCGAAGGCGGCAUCCUGGACCGAGAUUGACGCUGAUGAGCGAAAGCUAGGGGAGCAAACGGG